rnacentral:rRNA from 1 species
GACCGGGAUGGACAUACCUCUGGUGUACCAGUUGUCGUGCCAACGGCAUAGCUGGGUAGCUAUGUAUGGACGGGAUAAGUGCUGAAAGCAUCUAAGCAUGAAGCCCCCCUCAAGAUGAGAUUUCCCAACUUCGGUUAUAAGAUCCCUCAAAGAUGAUGAGGUUAAUAGGUUCGAGGUGGAAGCGUAGCGAUACGUGGAGCUGACGAAUACUAAUCGAUCGAAGACUUAAUCAAUUU